UUGCAAGGAUUCUUUCAGAAUAGUUAUGAUAUUGGUAGCCCAUUUUUACUUAUAUGUUCAUUAAACAUGUCAAGAUAACUUUUUUGAAUAAUGAUCUUCAUGAUAAAUUUUACAUGAAUCAACCAUAAAGUUUUGUUGAGAGUGAAAAGAACAUAUGGUAUACAUACUUAAGAGAUAUAUCUAUGGUCUUCAGUGGUUAGUAAAGAAAUGA
rnacentral:lncRNA from 1 species